rnacentral:rRNA from 1 species
AACGAACGCUGGCGGCAUGCCUAACACAUGCAAGUCGAACGAGAUCUUCGGAUCUAGUGGCGCACGGGUGCGUAACGCGUGGGAAUCUGCCCUUGGGUUCGGAAUAACAGUGAGAAAUUACUGCUAAUACCGGAUGAUGUCUUCGGACCAAAGAUUUAUUGCCCAAGGAUGAGCCCGCGUAGGAUUAGCUAGUUGGUGGGGUAAUGGCCUACCAAGGCGACGAUCCUUAGCUGGUCUGAGAGGAUGAUCAGCCACACUGGGACUGAGACACGGCCCAGACUCCUACGGGAGGCAGCAGUGGGGAAUAUUGGACAAUGGGCGAAAGCCUGAUCCAGCAAUGCCGCGUGAGUGAUGAAGGCCUUAGGGUUGUAAAGCUCUUUUACCAGGGAUGAUAAUGACAGUACCUGGAGAAUAAGCUCCGGCUAACUCCGUGCCAGCCGCCGCCGUAA